rnacentral:rRNA from 1 species
ACACAUGCAAGUCGAACGAGCGAGAGAGAGCUUGCUUUCUCGAGCGAGUGGCGAACGGGUGAGUAACGCGUGAGGAACCUGCCUCAAAGAGGGGGACAACAGUUGGAAACGACUGCUAAUACCGCAUAAGCCCACGACCCGGCAUCGGGAAGAGGGAAAAGGAGCAAUCCGCUUUGAGAUGGCCUCGCGUCCGAUUAGCUAGUUGGUGAGGUAACGGCCCACCAAGGCGACGAUCGGUAGCCGGACUGAGAGGUUGAACGGCCACAUUGGGACUGAGACACGGCCCAGACUCCUACGGGAGGCAGCAGUGGGGAAUAUUGCACAAUGGGGGAAACCCUGAUGCAGCGACGCCGCGUGGAGGAAGAAGGUCUUCGGAUUGUAAACUCCUGUUGUUGAGGAAGAUAAUGACGGUACUCAACAAGGAAGUGACGGCUAACUACGUGCCAGCAGCCGCGGUAAAACGUAGGUCACAAGCGUUGUCCGGAAUUACUGGGUGUAAAGGGAGCGCAGGCGGGAAGACAAGUUGGAAGUGAAAUCCAUGGGCUCAACCCAUGAACUGCUUUCAAAACUGUUUUUCUUGAGUAGUGCAGAGGUAGGCGGAAUUCCCGGUGUAGCGGUGGAAUGCGUAGAUAUCGGGAGGAACACCAGUGGCGAAGGCGGCCUACUGGGCACCAACUGACGCUGAGGCUCGAAAGUGUGGGUAGCAAACAGGAUUAGAUACCCUGGUAGUCCACACCGUAAACGAUGAUUACUAGGUGUUGGAGGAUUGACCCCUUCAGUGCCGCAGUUAACACAAUAAGUAAUCCACCUGGGGAGUACGACCGCAAGG